rnacentral:tRNA from 2 species
GGGCCGUUAGCUCAGUUGGCAGAGCACUUGCAUGACGCGCAAGGGGUCGUGGGUUCGAAUCCCUCACGGCCCAC